GAUGAACGCUGGCGGCGUGCCUAAUACAUGCAAGUCGAGCGAACAGACGAGGAGCUUGCUCCUCUGACGUUAGCGGCGGACGGGUGAGUAACACGUGGAUAACCUACCUAUAAGACUGGGAUAACUUCGGGAAACCGGAGCUAAUACCGGAUAAUAUAUUGAACCGCAUGGUUCAAUAGUGAAAGACGGUUUUGCUGUCACUUAUAGAUGGAUCCGCGCCUCAUUAGCUAGUUGGUAAGGUAACGGCUUACCAAGGCAACGAUGCGUAGCCGACCUGCGAGGGUGAUCGGCCACACUGGAACUGAGACACGGUCCAGACUCCUACGGGAGGCAGCAGUAGGGAAUCUUCCGCAAUGGGCGGAAGCCUGACGGAGCAACGCCGCGUGAGUGAUGAAGGUCUUCGGAUCGUAAAACUCUGUUAUCAGGGAAGAACAAAUGUGUAAGUAACUAUGCACGUCUUGACGGUACCUAAUCAGAAAGCCACGGCUAACUACGUG
rnacentral:rRNA from 1 species